rnacentral:rRNA from 1 species
AUUGAACGCUGGCGGCAGGCCUAACACAUGCAAGUCAACGGUAACAGGAAGCAGCUUGCUGCUUUGCUGACGAGUGGCGGACGGGUGAGUAAUGUCUGGGAAACUGCCUGAUGAGGGGGGAUAACUACUGGAAACGGUAGCUAAUACCGCAUAACGUCGCAAGACCAAAGAGGGGGACCUUCGGGCCUCUUGCCAUCAGAUGUGCCCAGAUGGGAUUAGCUUGUUGGUGGGGUAACGGCUCACCAAGGCGACGAUCCCUAGCUGGUCUGAGAGGAUGACCCAGCCACACUGGAACUGAGACACGGUCCAGACUCCUACGGGAGGCAGCAGUGGGGAAUAUUGCACAAUGGGCGCAAGCCUGAUGCAGCCAUGCCGCGUGUAUGAAGAAGGCCUUCGGGUUGUAAAGUACUUUCAGCGGGGAGGAAGGUGUUGUGGUUAAUAACCACAGCAAUUGACGUUACCCGCAGAAGAAGCACCGGCUAACUCCGUGCCAGCCGCGGC